ACAUCAACCUCUUGAAACAGUUAUUCUUUUGGGACCCGUAGCAUAUGUGUAGACAUGUGCACACAAAGAUAGAAGAUAUGCAAGUUCAUCAUGGAAGAAAGAAGGCAGACCAGCUCCAUGAACCAAGGUGCAGCUCCCAGCUCACUAUACUUGAGGCCACUGCAGUGCCACUUCACAUGGUGCAGGAGUAAACAUUGACCUUGCAGGUCUGAAAACAUCUGCCUUUAGUUAUUUCUCAUUUUGGAGAAAGAAGAUUUUGAAACUGAAGAUUUAAGUAAUUUGCCAGAGUCAGAAUGCUGUAAGCAUCAGAACUCGAUUUUCGAACUUAAGUUUAUCUGACUCAAAAGCUUUUGCCUUUCACCACCACCCUAUUGCUUCUAAAAUGUCAAACAUCGGCUGAACCACAGGACAGGUAUCCUAUAAAUGAGGAGGAUGUGGAUGCACCCCCAUGUGUACGUAAGGACACACGAGCUAAAGGCUUUACCUGACCCAGUAAAAGUGUCAAGCGCUCCAUCUCCAGUCGUGGCUGUGGUUUCACUGCUGUUCAAGGGCUCUGUUUUGACUGCAAGAAGAGACACUACGUAGAAGAAUAAGUACAUUGAAUCACUGCUAUAUCCUUAUUGCCUGCAAAGCUGCCUGAAAAAGUAGUUUCUCAAGAAAAGCAGUUUCUCAAGAAACAUUUCAGUAAUAAAUGAAUGAGUGAAAUGGUGUGUAAGCCAUAACCAUCUUAGAAACAGCUGUGAAAUCAAGCAUGCUGGCUGGGAGAUGUGGCUCCUCUCCGCGGCACAGUGUCUAUAUCACUGAUCAGGUGGACAGAUAGUCCCAGAAGGAGGCCCUCACCAACCCAUUUCCCCAGACACAGUCAGAACUGGGGUCAGCUGCAGAGAUGGGAACCGCAAGAGGAAGGAGACCCUUAACAAGGACCAGGAAAGUGGUGUAUGCAUAAAGAAAGGAAGCUGUUCUUGAAAUGUGCCAGUGACCUCAUCCCUGUCCCUGAGGCCAGCAUGAGUGCUUGCAGUGCAAGUGACCCAUCUGCCAGGGUGACCUCAGGCCUCGGACUAACAGCAAAUAAAGCCAUGAACACACUGUUCUCUGGACACUUUUGCAAUUUUUCCUUUCCAGGGCCUACAGCUCUAGACUUGAGACCUGCAACUCUUCCCCUUUGUUCACUAUGACUCUAACAAAUUUAAAACAUGUCAGUUCUCUCCAACCCCAAGAAAUGUGAAUAAAUGUUUCCGAAAACCAGAAGCAUUUCCCUAAAUUUUUGUUUUUAAAAGUCCCCCUUAAUCGGAAAACAAAGAAAUAAACAAAAAUCCAAUGGAUUUUCCAAGCAUUAUUUGAAUGGCACAGGAUUCACUUUCUGUCAGAUCAGUUCAAACCAUCAUUAAUGAAGCAGAAAAUUAUUUUCCUCUAGCAAGUAGUGGAGUAAAGCCAUAAGACCACAAUCAAAACAUUUAAUGCCAUCAAUUGUACUAAGAAACAUAUCACUGUUUUUUUCUAAGAAAAAACUCUACCAGUAAAGAUCAAACUGUUCACAGGAUAAACAAAUCUAGGUUUCCCAAUGUUGUACUAACAAGAGCAAAGCAUUGAUAUAAUGUACAAAAAAAAGGUGGUAACCUAUUAAAAUGAUCAGAUUUCCAGUUCUGAAGGGACAUUAAAUGUCCUCAAAAGCAAAAUGGAAUAUUGUGCUUAAGGCUAUGAGAGCAGUGUUAAGAGUCUCUACUGUCAACUAAAACCUGAAUUUUAAACUCUGCCUCAUUUACCAGUCAUGGGACCUUAGUCUCAAUAUUGGAGAUAAUAAUAUCCUCUGGAAGGCUAAUGUGUGAAUUAAAUAAGAUCACACAAAAAAAAGUAUCCAAAGGUUGGCCUACAGUGCAUCCUUCAUAAAUUUUAUUACUACAAUCACUUCUACAACACAGACAAUAAAACAGCCUGGUUUGUCUAUUUGAAAACUUGUAGUGUCAAGAAAAUCAUUUUCUUAAGAGGCAGCCCUUUCAUUUUCAGAUAACUUAUACUAUCAGAAAGUUUUCUAUCCGGGGCUUCCCUGAAACUUUGGUCCAAGAAAAUUCAUUUAUUGUCAUGGGUCAAGUCUAAACCUUCUUUCAUAUAACAGUCUUUCACACAUCAAUGACCUGUCCUGCCCAAGAGCUUUUUCUCUCUCAGGGAGGGCAUCUCCAAUUCCCUCAGUCCACUCAGUCCAUCUCAAACUCUUUUACUUUCCUAGCAUUCUCUUCCAUAAGAUCUCCAGGAUUCUUCUUUAACAGUGGUCCCCAUAGUCACACAGUUGUGGUCCAAAAUAUGGCAAGGCUAUUACAACUCUCACUUGUCAGUGUAGACUGAAGAGUACAUUAGCUUUGUCCUCAGACACUGUGCAGUCCUAAUUCAUGCCUAAACCCAGCCAGUGAAAUUCUCAAGUCUUUGUCCCAUGUGAUGCUUGAGAGCCCUGUGUCCUCCCAGUCGCUCACUACACAUGCAGUUGGCAUUUGGGACCCGAGUGAACAGCUUUUCAUGUGUUUCUCCUAAAUGCCAUCUUGUUGGACUUGAGUCCAUUGUUUCAGCCUGUCUGUUAGAUUCUGAUUCUGCUGUUCAAUGUCCUCUUUCCCAGUGAAGUUCCUAUCUCACCUACAAACUUUCUUAGCAUGCCCUCAAUGCCCUCACAAUAAACAUGUUGGCCAGCCACAGUGGCUCACGCCUGUAAUCCCAGCAUUUUGGGAGGCCAAGGUGGGUGGAUCAUGAGGUCAAGAG
rnacentral:lncRNA from 1 species